UGACGGGGCCCGCACAAGCGGUGGAGGCAUGUGGUUUAAUUCGAAGCAACCGCGAAGAACCUUACCAGGUUCUUGACAUCCCGUUGAACACUGUAGAGAUAUGGUUUUCCCUUCGGGGACAACGGUGACAGGUGGUGCAUGGUUGUCGUCAGCUCGUGUCGUGAGAUGUUGGGUUAAGUCCCGCAACGAGCGCAACCCUUGAUCUUAGUUGCCAUCAUUUAGUUGGGCACUCUAAGGUGACUGCCGGUGACAAACCGGAGGAAGGUGGGGAUGACGUCAAAUCAUCAUGCCCCUUAUGACCUGGGCUACACACGUGCUACAAUGGACGAUACAAACGGUUGCCAACUCGCGAGAGGGAGCUAAUCCGAUAAAGUCGUUCUCAGUUCGGAUUGUAGGCUGCAACUCGCCUACAUGAAGCCGGAAUCGCUAGUAAUCGCGGAUCAGCAUGCCGCGGUGAAUACGUUCCCGGGCCUUGUACACACCGCCCGUCACACCACGAGAGUUUGUAACACCCGAAGUCGGUGGGGUAACCUUUGGAGCCAGCCGCCGA
rnacentral:rRNA from 1 species